GACGAACGCUGGCGGCGUGCUUAACACAUGCAAGUCGAGCGGUAAGGCCCUUUCGGGGGGUAACACGAGCGGCGAACGGGUGAGUAACACGUGGGUGACCUGCCCUCAGCUCUGGGAUAAGCCUGGGAAACCGGGUCUAAUACUGGAUAUGACUCCAUGACGCAUGUUGUGGGGUGGAAAGCCUUGUGCGGCUGAGGAUGGGCCCGCGGCCUAUCAGCUUGUUGGUGGGGUGAUGGCCUACCAAGGCGACGACGGGUAGCCGGCCUGAGAGGGCGACCGGCCACACUGGGACUGAGACACGGCCCAGACUCCUACGGGAGGCAGCAGUGGGGAAUCUUGCGCAAUGGGCGAAAGCCUGACGCAGCGACGCCGCGUGAGGGAUGACGGCCUGGU
rnacentral:rRNA from 1 species